GGGGAUUUAGCUCAGCGGCAUAAGCGCCUGCCUUGCAAGCAGGAAGUCGAUCCCCA
rnacentral:tRNA from 1 species